rnacentral:lncRNA from 1 species
CUUCUGCAACAUGUAAGCACCUGAAAUGUAAGCAAGAAAUAAGAAAUGGGGAAAGGUCACUGUCUCAAAGGGAAAGAGAGCACAUGCAGGACCACCCUGAUCUCCCAUUACUUCCUAUCUAGGGUCCACAUCAAGACAGUGGUGGGAAUUGAACCCAG